UCUGCACUGAAAUUUUAUCCUGCUCGCUGAGCCUCCGCUGGCUAAAGGCCAGUGCAACAUUCCUGUUGUUUUAGGAGCGCAGAUACCUUAGCUGAAGGUUAAAAAAAAAAUCGGCCCUGAUGGAGAGAUGUGGGGACUUCACCAGAUGGACUCCUCCCCUCGCUCAAAAAGUCACAUCCACUUCAAACAUCCAGAGAGGGCCCCAGAAAGUAGCACCUGCUCCACCUGGGGACAUCCGUGCGAGUCGGGAGCCCGGCCCGCUCUGGGCCGUUCAGAGAAACCUAGCCGAGAAGCGAGUUUGAGGGCAGGACUAGGAAUCCUGCUGCGGAUCGCAGGCCGAGCAGUGCCCCCUCCGCCGUCCUUUCACUAGGAAAGAAGUCGCAGGAGCAGGGCAUGAUUGACAAAGUAUUGCUCAAAAAAAAACUUCCACCAAUUACUCUGGCAAAGACAACCAUCUGUGUGCCAGUGACUCAUACAACACCUCCACUCAAAAGUAUUAAGUAUGCAUUGUGAUUUUUAACAAAAAAACCUGCGCAAAUGCUGGAUUAUGAGCCCCUCCUGAGGGUGCAGAAACUGUCUUGUUGAACUGUUUCCCCAGCCCCAACUGGAGGCCCGUGAGGUUAAAGCUGCUACCAUUAUCUACAAUUUCCUUCCUGUGGCUUUUCUUUGGCUACUACGGGGUCAGCCUAGGCAAGGGUGUCCCUGGAGGCAAUACCCCAACAGUCUCUUUGCCUCCUGCUGGGGUGACUCUGAGACUUGGUCUACACUAACUCCCAGACCUGCUGGUGGGCUGGACCUGCAGUCACCUGCAGUGGCAAUUGCCUGGUUAAGACGCUCCCCUUCCACUCCUGGUUGCAUUGCCCACUCCCCGACUGCUGUAUCCCGAGAUCAUAUCCGAAACCAACUGCUGCAUUCAAGCCCUUGUCUCCGGGCCUACUUCUGGAGGGACUCAAGCCAAACCAGUCUCUUCUGUGUCCCCAACAUGGUUCCUAGGCCACUUAUCUCCAGUGACUGAGGCCCUCAUCCUGAAGGCACUGCGGACAUCACCUCGGCUGUGCUGCCAGGUCCCACCCACCAUGUUCCGCCAUCCACGGCCUGAGGACCUCUGUCCUCUGAGAUCUCACCCAGACCUCACUCGGGAUGCCAACUA